AUUGAACGCUGGCGGCAGGCCUAACACAUGCAAGUCGAGCGGAUGAAGGGAGCUCGCUCCUGGAUUCAGCGGCGGACGGGUGAGUAAUGCCUAGGAAUCUGCCUGGUAGUGGGGGAUAACGUCCGGAAACGGGCGCUAAUACCGCAUACGUCCUGAGGGAGAAAGUGGUGGAUCUUAGGACCUCACGCUAUCAGAUGAGCCUAGGUCGGAUUAGCUAGUUGGUGGGGUAAAGGCCUACCAAGGCGACGAUCCGUAACUGGUCUGAGAGGAUGAUCAGUCACACUGGAACUGAGACACGGUCCAGACUCCUACGGGAGGCAGCAGUGGGGAAUAUUGGGCAAUGGGCGAAAGCCUGAUGCAGCCAUGCCGCGUGUGUGAUGAAGGUCUUCGGAUUGUAAAGCACUGUAAGUUGGGAGGAAGAGCAGUAAGUUAAUCCCUUGAUGUUUUGACGUUACCAACAGAGUAAGCACCGGCUAACUUCGUG
rnacentral:rRNA from 1 species